rnacentral:rRNA from 2 species
UGGGGAAUCUUGCGCAAUGGUCGAAAGACUGACGCAGCGACGCCGCGUGUGGGAGGACGCCUUUCGGGGUGUAAACCACUGUUGCCCGGGACGAACUGCUCGAUUCGUCGAGCUUGACGGUACCGGGUGAGGAAGCACCGGCUAACUCCGUGCCAGCAGCCGCGGUAAUACGGAGGGUGCGAGCGUUGUCCGGAAUCAUUGGGCGUAAAGGGCGCGUAGGUGGCCCGGUCAGUUCGUGGUGAAAGCGCGGGGCUCAACCCUGCGUCGGCCAUGAAUACUGCCGCGGCUGGAGCACUGUAGAGGCAGGCGGAAUUCCGGGUGUAGCGGUGGAAUGCGUAGAGAUCCGGAAGAACACCGGUGGCGAAGGCGGCCUGCUGGGCAGUUGCUGACACUGAGGCGCGACAGCGUGGGGAGCAAACA